UAGGGAAUCUUCCACAAUGGGCGCAAGCCUGAUGGAGCAACACCGCGUGAGGGAAGAAGGGUUUCGGCUCGUAAAGCUCUGUUGUUGGAGAAGAACGUGCGUGAGAGUAACUGUUCACGCAGUGACGGUAUCCCACAAGAAAGUAUCGGACAAUUACGUGCCAGAAGCCGCGGUAAUACGUAGGUGGCAAGCGUUAUCCGGAUUUAUUGGGCGUAAAGCGAGCGCAGGCGGUUGCUUAGGUCUGAUGUGAAAGCCUUCGGCUUAACCGAAGAAGUGCAUCGGAAACCGGGCGACUUGAGUGCAGAAGAGGACAGUGGAACUCCAUGUGUAGCGGUGGAAUGCGUAGAUAUAUGGAAGAACACCAGUGGCGAAGGCGGCUGUCUGGUCUGCAACUGACGCUGAGGCUCGAAAGCAUGGGUAGCGAACAGG
rnacentral:rRNA from 1 species